rnacentral:rRNA from 1 species
GACGAACGCUGGCGGCGUGCCUAACACAUGCAAGUCGAACGAAGAGCGACGGAAGCUUGCUUCUCUCAAUCUUAGUGGCGAACGGGUGAGUAACGCGUAAUCAACCUGCCCUUCAGAGGGGGACAACAGUUGGAAACGACUGCUAAUACCGCAUACGAUCUAACCUCGGCAUCGAGGAUAGAUGAAAGGUGGCCUCUACAUGUAAGCUAUCACUGAAGGAGGGGAUUGCGUCUGAUUAGCUAGUUGGAGGGGUAACGGCCCACCAAGGCGAUGAUCAGUAGCCGGUCUGAGAGGAUGAACGGCCACAUUGGGACUGAGACACGGCCCAGACUCCUACGGGAGGCAGCAGUGGGGAAUCUUCCGCAAUGGACGAAAGUCUGACGGAGCAACGCCGCGUGAGUGAUGACGGCCUUCGGGUUGUAAAGCUCUGUUAAUCGGGACGAAAGGCCUUCUUGCGAAUAGUGAGAAGGAUUGACGGUACCGGAAUAGAAAGCCACGGCUAACUACGUG